CUGGGAGUUGUAGUUUUUCACUGUGAGGAAGAAUCCCCGUGAAAAGCGGUUAGGGAGGAGUCACGGAAACUACGACUCCCGUCAUUCAAGGCGCGCGACUCUCAGUUCCGGGUUGGAAUUUAAAUCCCCUACACAGCUUGAGUGUAGAAGGAACUAAGCAAAAGAGAAAAAAAGAAAAAGCUGUGAGAGAGUGUGAGAGAGGAAGGCAAACCCGUAGGGAAAGCGGCCUUAAAAUACCUUUAAAAUUCAGGACAUUAGUUGUCCGGAUACCGCUCCCACACUGAUUGAACAACCAGGAAAUAGAAAACUAAGCCAACCUAACAGUCCAAGACAGAUUAAUUUCCGUAAUGAAUGCCAAGAACAAAACCUGUCACAUCGAAGGGCUAGGAAAUAAUAAGAUUAUGGAACCUAUUUAGGACUGCUAGAGAGAACAACGUAAUAGUAUCAGGUUACCGGAUCCUUGAUUGAACUCCAUCCUUGUCCUUCCCAGGUAGCUGUUUGCAGCCGCUUACUAAAUUUUGCAAAGCCAGCUUUAUCCUGUAAAUGAAUAAGAUUUAAACGACGUACAGUACCAAAUUGUUUGCUUCGGAUAAAAACUGUAACCUCUUCUCCAUCAGAGGCUGAUUUCUACUGGUAUAGUGCUCUAUGAAGAAAAGUGCGCCGCUCCAGGAAACAAGCUAUGAUUCGCUUAUCCUGCAGGACUUCGAAAGAAACCACAGGAAAGUCUCUGGCAGUCAAAAGAAGUUUUUAUGAAGUCCUUAUUUUAAAAUUAGCAUACUUUCCGAAGAUUAGCCCUGAGCUAACUGCCAAUCCUCCUCUUUUUGCUGCGGAAGACUCGCCCUGAGCUAACAUCUGUGCCCAUCUUUCUCUACUUUAUAUGUGGGACGCCUACCACAGCAUGGUGUGCCAAGUGGUGCCAUGUCCGCGCGCCACCAGGCCCGCCCCUCCACCUCUUAAAGGAGACAGUCUACACUCUUAACAGGGCUUGCCUCUGAACAAUGGGACAUGGAAUGUGUCUGUGGGAACAAGAUGAACUGAACACAGGUCCCGCCCUCAAAGGAGCUUACUUUCUACCUUAUAUGAUUGUCUGAAGAGUCUUUUACAAAUAUCCCAUUUAUCAUAAUUAUUUGAAAAUUAAAAUAUAAUUUUCUGGAAAAAAUGUCAUCUCAAUUACCACUAUCCUGAAAACUAAAAGCCAGUCCAUCCUUAAACAGUGCCCAGCCCAUAGUAAACCCUUAGUCAGUACUGGCUGUUAUUAUCAUGCUAAGGCAAACGCCAAAAUUUCCCCAAGCCUGAGGUGGUCGAAGAAUUUCAAGGGUACCAUCUUGUUCAUUAGACUGCCCAGAGGCCAGGCACAGCUGCUGGGGACCAGUUUCUGAGCCAAGCUCCUCCCUCCCCUCUGUCCCCAGCCAUCAGGAGGGAACUCAGACAAGAUCUAGGUUCCGAAUAAGUGUAGCUGGGCUGCAGGGUGUGUCUCUUUUAAUCCCACUUAGAUAGGUGAGUUAGAGCCUAGGUUGGCAAUAUAUGGAGAGAAUAAAAGUAUUAUUUACAGGCAUGCCACCAUGGCCCAGGCGCCUUCUCAAUUCAUCUUAGUGAAAAUCCAAGGUAGUAGUGUUAAUCUCGUUUUACUCUUGAACCUGUGGCUCAUGCCUAAGGUCACACAGUCUUAAAUGGGUCAGCAUUGGAACUAUGACCCAAGUUUGCAAGACCUCAAAGGUGUGUUCUGGUACUCCACACUGUUGACUCGGGCAGCGAAGAAGCCUGGAAAGAAAGAGAGGGAUUAAUUUAAAUUUUACAAAGCAUCAUAAUAGACAUAAGUAGCAAGUGGUCAAUAAAAAAAAAAAUCUUUUUUAAGGACAGUGUCAGCAUAUGUUCCA